AUUGAACGCUGGCGGCAGGCCUAACACAUGCAAGUCGAACGGUAACAGGAAGAAGCUUGCUUCUUUGCUGACGAGUGGCGGACGGGUGAGUAAUGUCUGGGAAACUGCCUGAUGGAGGGGGAUACCUACUGGAAACGGUAGCUAAUACCGCAUAACGUCGCAAGCCCAAAGAGGGGGACCUUCGGGCCUCUUGCCAUCGGAUGUGCCCAGAUGGGAUUAGCUAGUAGGGGGGGUAACGGCUCACCUAGGCGACGAUCCCUAGCUGGUCUGAGAGGAUGACCAGCCACACUGGAACUGAGACACGGUCCAGACUCCUACGGGAGGCAGCAGUGGGGAAUAUUGCACAAUGGGCGCAAGCCUGAUGCAGCCAUGCCGCGUGUAUGAAGAAGGCCUUCGGGUUGUAAAGUACUUUCAGCGGGGAGGAAGGGAGUAAAGUUAAUACCUUUGCUCAUUGACGUUACCCGCAGAAGAAGCACCGGCUAACUCCGUG
rnacentral:rRNA from 1 species